ACAUAUACUUACAGUAAUCGCUCAUUUUCUAUUUUGUUGAGGUUUACAGAAGUACAGAAGUCUGAAGCUAUUGUGGAAAUAAGAAGUUAUUAGUGGACAUAAGAAAGUUGGUCUAAACAGUGCUCAACAGGAAAUCUGGUGUCUUAUUUUCAGUCUUCAAAGUCGAGCUGACAGCUAUGAAACUCAUUCUGCGGUGGAUUUUUUGCUUUAGUUUAGGUUUUGUCGCUGAUUGCCAAGAGAAGCGUUAUGGAUUGAAAGGAAGCUCAAUCCAACUGAGCAUCAGUCCCAGAAAUCGGUCACAUUUGCAAGAACCUGUAUGGCGACGAUUCAACAGGAAAGAGUUGCUUGCAAACUCAAUGGGAGUUCCCACUAAAUAUAGGAAACGAAUGAGCUUUAACGUCUCCGACUGGUCUUUGACCAUACACGACCUUCAGGAAAAUGACAGUGGACAAUAUGAGGCCCUUUCGAACUUCGAGGAAGACAUUCUGACUGCAUUCACACUUACAGUGGAGAACACUGUCUCUCAGCCUGUAAUCAAAGUGAGUCAAUAUGACUUGAAUUCAUCUGCGUGUCAGGCCACAGUAAACUGUUCGGUUGAUGGCAGCUGGGCCACGUUUGACUGCGACCAAAGUUUCUGUGCAAAGACACAAGGCAAUCUAUCCUCCAUUAACAUCACUAUUGCAAUGGACAACAGAGACAUCCAGUGCCGCGUCAACAACCACGUGAGCAAGAAUCAUUCUCAGGCUCCCAAAGUUAUGUGCCAUGAAAAGCUGCAAAGUGAUUCGCGCUUUCCGCGGUCACUCAUCACGUGGAUCAUUGUCACCAUUGGUGUUGGUGUUUUAUUGGGUUUGUUUAUGGGCUUCAUUGUAGUAUUUGUCAAGAGAAGAAAGUGUUCAAAAGUUCAUCCGCAGUCCAGUCAUGCUGUGAUUCAACAGCAUCAUGAAACAAUCUACUGCACAGUGGAAAAGCCGGCCGCAUCCCAGACAUCCCCAGGAAACAACAUCGUCAGCAACAAAGUAGAAACCAUCUACGACACUCCAUCUCGACAUGUAUGCAAUAUCUUACUGAAUCUCAUCCGAAUAGUGAGAUUGUAAUUUGAAUCAAUGUCCUUUGAUCAAUUUAGAUGCAAUGAAACUCUGUGUGACCUGUUUAUUUGUUGGUUUGUGUCUUUCUCAGACCAAGGCUUGUCAGGUAGACAGUGUGGAGGUGAUGAGAGACAAUCAGGAGCAACAGCAAUCUGGACACGACAGAACUAUUAAAGUAAAAGCUACAGUUCACCAGGCAGCAGAACCCGAUUCAGAACCAAUAAACACAGUUUACUGCAAACUGGGAGAGAUAUGACAUAAACACACACAUACUGUACAUGUCUGAGAUGUCACUUCAGUGGAGAUUUAAGACCUUUGUGAGAAAGAAAAAAAACUUAAUGUAAAUUUUGUGUUUUCACUAGUGAAUAAGAUGUUUUUGAGGAUCAUUGAUAGAUACAAUAUAUGCUGUAUGCUACCUGCUAUUUUGUGAAACAGUACAGGUGCAUCUCAAUAAAUUAGAAU
ensembl:lncRNA uncharacterized LOC107692846